CACAGGGACACCCAUCUCAAAGAACACCAGUUACUGCACAAGGUAAAAGGCAAUAGCGUGCCUGACGUCCAGGGAAUGGAGCCUUGCCGUGUUGGCGUCUGGAUGAGGCUUCUGAUGGAAGACUGGGUUGCACUGUUAACUGUGAAGGAGCCAUGCGGUCAGAUGAUGCUUGUGAGCCUCUGAAUGCAGUACCUCAUCCUGGUAUACUAUGUAUGGCCAUGGAGGAAGAGGAAUCGGAGGAGCAACUGACAUCUGCAACAGGUAAGGGAACCAUGUCUGUCUGGGUGAUGUAGGUGCUAUCAUGCUCACCUUCGCCUGGAGAUUCCACUACUGAGACCUUACCUACCAGCUCUCUGAGCUUA